rnacentral:misc_RNA from 1 species
GUUUGAGGGCAUGUGGGCAUCCAUGUGUACUUCUACAUUUAUCUAAUUAUUUUCUAGAUUUAUCUAAUCAUUUUCCAUUAAUACUAUGAUUGGAUGGAGGGAUUUCAGAGGAGAGAUUUGGACAUGCCUUUAUUUUAAGUUGUUUGAAUGAAAGUAUUCUUUAGUGAAUUAGAUCUUUGAAUGAAGAUUAAAUUUAUGAAAGUGUUUGAAAGCUUAUUAGGGGUGGAUUUAAAAUUACACCUUUGUAUAGGUUUUUCAUGGACUCAAGAUUCUUAAGUUUGCUUCAAAACCUUCUUGUUUCACUGUAGUUUGAUCAAGAUAGUUUUCAUGAUAUUCUGUCUGUCUUGUGUGAGCAAGACUUCACCUCCCAAUUGCCAUCUUACAUUGGAAUUCUUUUAAACAUUUUGCCAACUUGUUUGAUGGUUUCCUUUUGUAUGCCACAACUCAACAACUCAUAUGGGAAAUGUUAUUUAACGUGAAGGAUGAAUUGAUUAUUUUUACUGCUCAUGUUACCAAUAGAAAUGAUGCCUUAUACUUUCGUGCAUGAUUCACUUACCAGUAUUAUAUCACACUACCAAUUUGUGGUGUACAGGAGUCAUCUGCUAAUUUAUCUCAUUUUGAUAGGCUCCCAAAGAAGCAUUGUUGCAGACUCGUAUUGCAAACUCACUAACAUGGGCUAAAAAGGAGCCAUCCUUGGAAUGUGAUAAAGCUUUCAUUCCAUCUCUGGCUGAGCGUAUAUCCUUCACAGCACUACAACCUAUUUCAGGUUCUACUGAAUCAGAAAUGCUCAAGUUGCAGCAACAGAAGCUAAGAGCAAUGGAUGUGAAAGAGACGCUACAAAGGCUAGAUGAUUCCUUAGAAUUAGUUAAUGAGAACAUC